AUGUGCUUCAUCAUAUAUAGACCACAGACUGCACACAGACCCUCAUCAUCACACAGCUGUCCUUCAGAGAUGCAGAGAGAGACAGACAUGCUGCUGGUCAGGAGAAAAUACAAGAGAUACUCCAAACAGAAGAUGACCUACCUGGGUCUGAUCGCGUGCGUCAUUCAAAAUGCCCAUCAGAAGAAAUUAACGUUUCACGAGUUAAUGAAUGCGGUGAAGACAUUUGUGGAUGGCGACAGAAAAGGCAUCGAAAAUAAUAUCAAAAUCUGUUUAUCAUCAAACAGUUGUUUUGUAAAGGUGCCUGUAAAUCCAGAGUGUCCAAAUGGAAACGCAACUUCUGGAAAGUGGAUGACAGUAAAAUCACCCCAAAGAUACUGCGGCGACACUUCAGCGGUUUGCGCGACGUCUUCCCAGACGCUUGUGAAACCGUGGAAAGUCCAUCACUUGAGAUUGCGACGGAAAACAGGGCGACCGGCAAACACCCCGAGGGAGAAGAGAAGUUCACCAGCCCGUUUUCCAUAGAGUCACUUCUGCAGCGGGAAAGCAGCGCCACCGCGAGGCACACACCGGUACUUUGUGCAACAAGGAGCCCGGAAAACACGUCUGUGGGCCUCGCAAAUGGAGACCGCGGUUUAGCGUGCAACUGGAAAACAUGGGACUGGUCUAAUUACACUGCGUACGCCUGUUUCAGUAGAUCAUUCUCACACUGUUCUUACCCUAUUUACAGUUUAGUCCAAAUGAAUGAUAGAUGUAGUCUCUCCGGUGGACCCUUAAGAGAAUGCGCUCAGUCUCUGAACUGUCCUGUAAGUUACUGUACAGUACCUGAGAGCAUUAGGCAGUUCAAGCAGGGCCUACAUGUAAAACGGCAUUUACUGUAACAUAAACAUACUUUUCUUAGUUUACGUAUACAUCUUACUGAUUUAAGUUGCAUUGUUGAAAAUAUCUGAAUAUUUGCCAAAUAAAUCUAAAUUGAAGCAUGCUGUGGGUGAGCGGAUUACAUGUUGUUGUUGUUGUUGUUUUCAAACCCAAUAAUUUAUUCCAUUCAGACACAAAGACGAGAUGAUUCAAAUAAGAUUUAUUGACCUCCAGCUUCCAGCAGUCAAUUUGCAUGCAGAUACAGGCUUCAGUCAAAAGGUUUUUUUUAGAUUUCCAGGUUUCCCAACCUUUUCUUACAAAACGGCGUGCACCUUAAAUAAUUAGUUCUGCAGCGUACAAACCACAAAAAUACGUUUUACAUUAUCAAAUACUGCACAUAGAAAACAUUUACAAAGCACAAGUAUAAAAUUACAGCUUCCCCGUACAGCUCUUUACCAUUCUGUUAUUCCUAAACAGCUCAAAUCAUCUUUCUAAAAGUUUUGGGGGCCACUCUUACUCUGAUGAAUCUUUGAUCGUGCUCUCUCAAAGUGCAAGACUUGAUCGGGUUACAUGUAGGGGAUGCAACUGGGCAUCGUUUUCAAAGUAGCUACAUCUCACGUGAAAGUUGAAAACUGUGUGGGAAGGUGAGCAUGUUCCAGCAGUGUCCUGUGCUGUUCACAAUGUCAUGAAUAAUAUGAAUGGCUGAUUUAUGGCAACAACAGAAGAGCUGCUUACAGCUUUGCUACAUGGAUGAGAAAACAGACCACAAAUGACCGUCUUUACAUAUGUGAAAUAAACUAAUGGCCAGUGACAGUCUUUUAAAUCCAAACCAGAAGCACAAUAAUUUCAAGUUUGCAAUCCUAUACAUAAAAUAAAGAUAGACAUUUCUUAGUUAAGUGUGAUCACAAAAAAUUAGAGCCUUAACCACGUGGCUUUUUGAAAAGAAAAAAACAGACAUGUUGCAAAGAAAAAACAAUGCUUACUUUCUUCAUUUUACAAAUCUCAGUGAAGUAAAUGACUUAAACAGGCAUGCACUGAAUGUUACAUUUGACUUAUAGGCACAACUGAUAUCUGAUAUUAAUCUUAGUUUCUCAGCAAAACUGAAUGAAUGCUCAAAAUCAAUAGCGAUUGAAAACAGCCUGAUCUAGAUUCCAGGGAUGUUGUGCUCUUGUAAGCCUUUAAACAUUGCCCCUGGGUAAAGUUGUUAUUGUGUCACUCUAACACUGUUAAACAAAUGUCUUUUAUAAUACAACCAGAUGAAAUAUUUAAUACGUACAUUCAAGUUAGAGAUACUUUAGUAUCACUAAUAAUAUCAAAACAAAACACUCAAGGCUUUCGGUGACACAUCUAAGCCUGAUGAUAAUCUCUCAAGCAAGGCAAUAAACAUCCAACAAAUCGCUCUGUAAGAUAAUUCAUUUUACAAAAAUAAGAUAAACGCUCAAUAUAUCCUCGUUAGUCUUUAUAUUUGUUCACAAACGUAACAAAAAACAGUAUUAGGGGUUCAUAAAAAGACUUCACAAGGGUUUAAAGGAACAGUUCCAGGAAUGAACAUUUGCUGAAAAUGUACUUACCUUUAAGCCAUCCAAGUUGUCGAUGAGCUUGUUUCUUCAUCAAAUUUAGAUAAAUGUAGCAUUGCAUCACUUGCUCACCAGUGGAUCGUCUGCAGUGAAUGGGUGCCGUCAGAAUGAGAGUCCAAACAGCUGUUAAAAACAUCAUGACAACCCACAAGUAAUCCACACCACUCCGGUCCAUCAGUUAAUGUCUUGUGAAGCUGAAAGUUGCAUGUUUGUAAGAAACAAAUCCAUCAUUAUAAUGUUUUUAACUUCAAACCAUUACUUUGGCUAAAAUAUGAGUCCUCUUUGGACUUUCGUCUGAAUCAGGAGAGAAAUAUGCACAUAUUAAGCACAGUUUUCCAGUGAAAACAGUCCAGAAUAGCUUUAAAUAAUUUUACAUGGGUGGA
ensembl:lncRNA